CCGGCGACCGGCGGACGGGUGCGUAACGCGUAUGUAACCUACCUUUGACAGGGGGAUAACAUCGAGAAAUUGGUACUAAUACCCCAUAACAUCACCGGGAGGCAUCUUCGGUGGUUGAAAACUCAGGUGGUCAGAGAUGGACAUGCGUUGUAUUAGCUAGUUGGUGAGGUAACGGCUCACCAAGGCGACGAUACAUAGGGGGACUGAGAGGUCAACCCCCCCACAUUGGUACUGAGACACGGACCAAACUCCUACGGGAGGCAGCAG
rnacentral:rRNA from 1 species